GCACGGGCUUCGGCCUGGUGGCGAGUGGCGAACGGGUGAGUAAUACAUCGGAACGUACCCAGAAGUGGGGGAUAACGCAGCGAAAGUUGCGCUAAUACCGCAUACGUUCUACGGAAGAAAGUGGGGGAUCUUCGGGCCUCAUGCUUUUGGAGCGGCCGAUGUCUGAUUAGCUAGUUGGUGGGGUAAAGGCUCACCAAGGCGACGAUCAGUAGCUGGUCUGAGAGGACGACCAGCCACACUGGAACUGAGACACGGUCCAGACUCCUACGGGAGGCAGCAGUGGGGAAUUUUGGACAAUGGGCGCAAGCCUGAUCCAGCAAUGCCGCGUGAGUGAAGAAGGCCUUCGGGUUGUAAAGCUCUUUUGUCAGGGAAGAAACGGCUCCGGCUAAUAUCUGGGGCUAAUGACGGUACCUGAAGAAUAAGCACCGGCUAACUACGUGCCAGCAGCCGCGGUAAUACGUAGGGUGCAAGCGUUAAUCGGAAUUACUGGGCGUAAAGCGUGCGCAGGCGGUUUUGUAAGUCUGACGUGAAAUCCCCGGGCUCAACCUGGGAAUUGCGUUGGAGACUGCAAGGCUGGAGUCUGGCAGAGGGGGGUAGAAUUCCACGUGUAGCAGUGAAAUGCGUAGAGAUGUGGAGGAACACCGAUGGCGAAGGCAGCCCCCUGGGUCAAGACUGACGCUCAUGCACGAAAGCGUGGGGAGCAAACAGGAUUAGAUACCCUGGUAGUCCACGCCCUAAACGAUGUCUACUAGUUGUCGGGUUUUAAUUAACUUGGUAACGCAGCUAACGCGUGAAGUAGACCGCCUGGGGAGUACGGUCGCAAGAUUAAAACUCAAAGGAAUUGACGGGGACCCGCACAAGCGGUGGAUGAUGUGGAUUAAUUCGAUGCAACGCGAAAAACCUUACCUACCCUUGACAUGGAAGGAAUCC
rnacentral:rRNA from 1 species